rnacentral:rRNA from 1 species
CCUACGGGAGGCAGCAGUGGGGAAUAUUGGGCAAUGGAGGCAACUCUGACCCAGCAACGCCGCGUGGGUGAUGAAGGACUUCGGAUUGUAAAGUUCUAUCAUGAGGGAUGAACACAAUGACAGUACCCCAAUAACACGCCACUACUAACUACGUGCCAGCCGCCGCGGUACUACGUAGGGGGCAAGCGUUAUCCGGAAUGACUGGGCGUAAAGGGGGCGUAGGUGGUUUAGUAAGUUGGCGGUGGAAUGCCGGGGCUCAACCUCGGGGCUACCGUGAAAACUAUUAGGCUAGAGUGCAGGAGGGGCAAGCGGAAUUCCUAGUGUAGCGGUGGAAUGCGUAGAUAUUAGGAGGAACACCAGUGGCGAAGGCGACUUACUGGACGGUAACUGACACUGAGGCACGAAAGCGUGGGGAGCAAACAGGAUUAGAUACCCGUGUAGUC